rnacentral:rRNA from 1 species
CAGCAGCCGCGGUAAGACGAACUGUGCAAACGUUAUUCGGAAUCACUGGGCUUAAAGGGUGCGUAGGCGGUCUUGUAAGUAGGGUGUGAAAGCCCCCGGCUCAACCGGGGAACUGCGUCCUAAACUGCGAGGCUAGAGUGAGGUAGGGGUGUGUGGAACUUCCAGUGGAGCGGUGAAAUGUGUUGAUAUUGGAAGGAACGCCGGUGGCGAAAGCGACACACUGGACCUCGUCUGACGCUGAGGCACGAAAGCCAGGGGAGCAAACGGGAUUAGAUACCCCAGUAGUCCCUGUCUCUUAUAC